AAUGGUUUAAGAGAGCUUCCUUCAGUCCACUCAUGGACGGGUGAAGGGUUUGAAUUAUAUGCCGACUCAUUCAUUCAAACACAAUAGGAAAUGGUAACAGUGAUUGCUAUUGUGAAUGUGUGAAUGAUGCGGGAGAUAAAUUUCAUCCUUCUCUUCUCUGUGCUUGGACUGAAGGGAGCUCCCUUUAACUGUUUC
rnacentral:pre_miRNA from 1 species